rnacentral:rRNA from 1 species
AGAGUUUGAUCCUGGCUCAGGAUAAACGCUGGCGGUGUACAUAAGACAUGCAAGUCGAACGGGAGAAGACAGGAAGAUUUAUCUACUUGUUGGACACCGUGGCGGACGGGUGAGUAACACGUAAGCAACCUGCCUAUAAGAGGGGAAUAACAGUGAGAAAUUACUGAUAAUACCGCAUAAGCUGGAGGUAUCGCAUGAUACAUUCAGAAAAGAUUUAUCGCUUAUAGAUGGGCUUGCGUCUGAUUAGCUAGUUGGUGAGAUAACAGCUCACCAAGGCGACGAUCAGUAGCCGGAUUGAGAGGUUGAACGGCCACAUUGGGACUGAGACACGGCCCAGACUCCUACGGGAGGCAGCAGUGGGGAAUCUUCCGCAAUGGACGAAAGUCUGACGGAGCAACGCCGCGUGAGUGAUGACGGCCUUCGGGUUGUAAAGCUCUGUUAAUCGGGACGAAAGGCCUUCUUGCGAAUAGUUAGAAGGAUUGACGGUACCGGAAUAGAAAGCCACGGCUAACUACGUGCCAGCAGCCGCGGUAAUACGUAGGUGGCAAGCGUUGUCCGGAAUUAUUGGGCGUAAAGCGCGCGCAGGUGGUUUAAUAAGUCUGAUGUGAAAGCCCACGGCUCAACCGUGGAGGGUCAUUGGAAACUGUUAAACUUGAGUGCAGGAGAGAAAAGUGGAAUUCCUAGUGUAGCGGUGAAAUGCGUAGAGAUUAGGAGGAACACCAGUGGCGAAGGCGACUUUCUGGGCAACAACUGACGCUGAGGCACGAAAGUGUGGGGAGCAAACAGGAUUAGAUACCCUGGUAGUCCACACCGUAAACGAUGGAUACUAGGUGUUGGCAAUGAAUAAUUGUCGGUGCCGGCGCUAACGCAAUAAGUAUCCCACCUGGGGAGUACGACCGCAAGGUUGAAACUCAAAGGAAUUGACGGGGGCCCGCACAAGCAGUGGAGUAUGUGGUUUAAUUCGAAGCAACGCGAAGAACCUUACCAGGGCUUGACAUAUACAGGAAUAUAUAAGAGAUUAUAUAGCUCUACGGAGUCUGUAUACAGGUGGUGCAUGGUUGUCGUCAGCUCGUGUCGUGAGAUGUUGGGUUAAGUCCCGUAACGAGCGCAACCCCUAUGGCUAGUUGCUAACAUUAAGUUGAGGACUCUAGCAAGACUGCCGUUGUUAAAACGGAGGAAGGUGGGGACGACGUCAAAUCAUCAUGCCCUUUAUGUCCUGGGCUACACACGUACUACAAUGGGUAAGACAGAGGGAAGCGAAAGUGCGAACUGGAGCAAAACCCUAAACUUAUUCUCAGUUCGGAUUGGAGUCUGAAAUUCGGCUCCAUGAAGCUGGAAUUGCUAGUAAUGGCAGGUCAGCAUACUGCCGUGAAUACGUUCCCGGGCCUUGUACACACCGCCCGUCACACCAUGAGAGUUGGGAAUACCCGAAGCCUGUGAGCUAACUUUUUAAGAGGCAGCAGUCGAAGGUAGAAUCAAUGAUUGGGGUGAAGUCGUAACAAGGUAGCCGUAUCGGAAGGUGCGGCUG